rnacentral:rRNA from 1 species
UCUGAUGACGCUGGCGGCGUGCCUAAUACAUGCAAGUCGAGCGAACGGACGAGAAGCUUGCUUCUCUGAUGUUAGCGGCGGACGGGUGAGUAACACGUGGAUAACCUACCUAUAAGACUGGGAUAACUUCGGGAAACCGGAGCUAAUACCGGAUAAUAUUUUGAACCGCAUGGUUCAAAAGUGAAAGACGGUCUUGCUGUCACUUAUAGAUGGAUCCGCGCUGCAUUAGCUAGUUGGUAAGGUAACGGCUUACCAAGGCAACGAUGCAUAGCCGACCUGAGAGGGUGAUCGGCCACACUGGAACUGAGACACGGUCCAGACUCCUACGGGAGGCAGCAGUAGGGAAUCUUCCGCAAUGGGCGAAAGCCUGACGGAGCAACGCCGCGUGAGUGAUGAAGGUCUUCGGAUCGUAAAACUCUGUUAUUAGGGAAGAACAUAUGUGUAAGUAACUGUGCACAUCUUGACGGUACCUAAUCAGAAAGCCACGGCUAACUACGUGCCAGCAGCCGCGGUAAUACGUAGGUGGCAAGCGUUAUCCGGAAUUAUUGGGCGUAAAGCGCGCGUAGGCGGUUUUUUAAGUCUGAUGUGAAAGCCCACGGCUCAACCGUGGAGGGUCAUUGGAAACUGGAAAACUUGAGUGCAGAAGAGGAAAGUGGAAUUCCAUGUGUAGCGGUGAAAUGCGCAGAGAUAUGGAGGAACACCAGUGGCGAAGGCGACUUUCUGGUCUGUAACUGACGCUGAUGUGCGAAAGCGUGGGGAUCAAACAGGAUUAGAUACCCUGGUAGUCCACGCCGUAAACGAUGAGUGCUAAGUGUUAGGGGGUUUCCGCCCCUUAGUGCUGCAGCUAACGCAUUAAGCACUCCGCCUGGGGAGUACGACCGCAAGGUUGAAACUCAAAGGAAUUGACGGGGACCCGCACAAGCGGUGGAGCAUGUGGUUUAAUUCGAAGCAACGCGAAGAACCUUACCAAAUCUUGACAUCCUUUGACAACUCUAGAGAUAGAGCUUUCCCCUUCGGGGGACAAAGUGACAGGUGGUGCAUGGUUGUCGUCAGCUCGUGUCGUGAGAUGUUGGGUUAAGUCCCGCAACGAGCGCAACCCUUAAGCUUAGUUGCCAUCAUUAAGUUGGGCACUCUAAGUUGACUGCCGGUGACAAACCGGAGGAAGGUGGGGAUGACGUCAAAUCAUCAUGCCCCUUAUGAUUUGGGCUACACACGUGCUACAAUGGACAAUACAAAGGGCAGCGAAACCGCGAGGUCAAGCAAAUCCCAUAAAGUUGUUCUCAGUUCGGAUUGUAGUCUGCAACUCGACUACAUGAAGCUGGAAUCGCUAGUAAUCGUAGAUCAGCAUGCUACGGUGAAUACGUUCCCGGGUCUUGUACACACCGCCCGUCACACCACGAGAGUUUGUAACACCCGAAGCCGGUGGAGUAACCUUUUAGGAGCUAGCCGUCGAAGGUGGGACAAAGAUU